GAUGACCUAGUGGUUAGAGCGUCCGCCACAGAUGCGGGAGGUCGUGGGUUCGAUCCCCGAUGAUGUCA